AACGAGGCCGACCUGCGGCUGAGUUACCUGCGGAGGGAUCAUUACAAGUGACCCCGGUCUAACCACCGGGAUGUUCAUAACCCUUUGUUGUCCGACUCUGUUGCCUCCGGGGCGACCCUGCCUUCGGGCGGGGGCUCCGGGUGGACACUUCAAACUCUUGCGUAACUUUGCAGUCUGAGUAAACUUAAUUAAUAAAUUAAAACUUUCAGCAAUGGAUCU
rnacentral:misc_RNA from 1 species